rnacentral:rRNA from 1 species
CGCGGCCUAUCAGCUUGUUGGUGGGGUAGAAGCCUACCAAGGCGACGACGGGUAGCCGGCCUGAGAGGGCGACCGGCCACACUGGGACUGAGACACGGCUCAGACUCCUACGGGAGGCGGCAGUGGGGAAUCUUGCGCAAUGGGCGAAAGCCUGACGCAGCGACGCCGCGUGGGGGAUGAAGGCCUUCGGGUUGUAAACCUCUUUCAGCAGGGACGAAGCGAAAGUGACGGUACCUGCAGAAGAAGCGCCGGCCAACUACGUGCCAGCAGCCGCGGUAAGACGUAGGGCGCGAGCGUUGUCCGGAUUUAUUGGGCGUAAAGAGCUCGUAGGCGGCUUGUCGCGUCGACUGUGAAAUCUCAGGGCUCAACUCUGACAUUGCAGUCGAUACGGGCAGGCUAGAGUUCGGUAGGGGAGACUGGAAUUCCUGGUGUAGCGGUGAAAUGCGCAGAUAUCAGGAGGAACACCGAUGGCGAAGGCAGGUCUCUGGGCCGAUACUGACGCUGAGGAGCGAAAGCGUGGGGAGCGAACAGGAUUAGAUACCCUGGUAGUCCACGCUGUAAACGUUGGGCGCUAGGUGUGGGGGGCCUCUCCGGUUUCCUGCG